rnacentral:rRNA from 1 species
GAUGAAUGCUGGCGGCGUGCCUAAUACAUGCAAGUCGUGCGGCAGCGCGAGUAGUUUACUACUUGGCGGCGAGCGGCGGACGGCUGAGUAACGCGUGGGAACGUGCCCCAAAGUGAGGGAUAAGCCCGAGAAAUCGGGUCUAAUACCGCAUAUGGUCUUCGGAUUAAAGCUUCGGCGCUUUGGGAGCGGCCCGCGUACGAUUAGAUUGUUGGUGAGGUAAUGGCUCACCAAGUCGACGAUCGUUAGCUGGUCUGAGAGGAUGAUCAGCCAGACUGGAACUGAGACACGGUCCAGACUCCUGCGGGAGGCAGCAGUAAGGAAUCUUCCACAAUGGGGGCAACCCUGAUGGAGCAACGCCGCGUGCAGGAUGAAGGCCCUCGGGUCGUAAACUGCUUUUAUGAGUGAAGAAUAUGACGGUAACUCAUGAAUAAGCACCGGCUAACUACGUGCCAGCAGCCGCGGUCAUACGUAGGGUGCAAGCAUUAUCCGGAGUGACUGGGCGUAAAGAGUUGCGUAGGCGGUUAGUAAAGCGAAUAGUGAAACCUGGUGGCUCAACCAUACAGACUAUUACUCGAACUCACUAACUCGAGAGUGGUAGAGGUAACUGGAAUUUCUUGUGUAGGAGUGAAAUCCGUAGAUAUAAGAAGGAACACCAAUGGCGUAGGCAGGUUACUGGACCAUUUCUGACGCUAAGGCACGAAAGCGUGGGGAGCGAACGGGAUUAGAUACCCCGGUAGUCCACGCCGUAAACGAUGGAUACUAGCUGUUGGAGGUAUCGACCCCUUCAGUAGCGAAGCUAACGCGUUAAGUAUCCCGCCUGUGGAGUACGGCCGCAAGGCUAAAACAUAAAGGAAUUGACGGGGAUCAGCACAAGCGGUGGAUCGUGUUCUUUAAUUCGAUGAUAAACGAAGAACCUUACCAG